ensembl:snoRNA
GUCCAGGGUGAGUCCCUCUCCAAGGGGCUGACUAGUGCCCCUGUUAGGACAGUAGCAACUUGGAAUAAAAUCUGGCAUGUCUAAGGUCUUAAAGGAACCAGGGAUGCUUACUUCCUUUGUGUUCCUUUGGCGGGCUGCAGGG